UUGCCCAUUGCUGUUCCCUGCCAUGGCUGGACUUAGCUGGUAUUUGGUGAUAAGUGUCACUUGUCUGUCCCUGUAUUGUACCCCCCUUUGUACCUUCAUUGUGACUUGAGCUCAUCUAUGGCCUGUUAACCAGGAUGACUCCAACUCCAACCUGAUGUCAGGUUUUGCAUAGUAACAUCCAAACUGGGCACCUGCUAAAGCCCUAGUUGUCCUACCCAAGUUCUUAAGUAUCUUGAGAUGCUACUCUACUGCCCCAGGGUCUGCCAUGGAGCUGGGGAGAGAGCAGUGCCCUUGCUGAGAGAGAAUUAAUCUUUUUUGCAUAAUGCCAUACACAUGUUGGGAUUCUGGGCUCCCCUGUGCCUAAUGGCAAAAGGUAUAACAGUGACAUGGAGUUAAGACUGUGGUAUAAUGUCCCCAUAAUUGUCAUGUCUUAUUUCAAUCAGCAAAGUGUCCCGGUCACCACAAAUCUUUGCCACUCCAGUUGUUGCAUAGCUUUAAUCUCAUCCACUCGUUUUCUCUGUGUGUACACAGAAUGGCUAGAGGUUUUAUUUUAGACGCUUUAACUUCUGUUCUUUUAAAACGGGCAUUUAAGAAAGACUCUUCUGUUUUGUUUGUUAAACUUUUUUUUACUAAUCUUUGCACGUUUAAAAACCAUUGUGUAUAACUGAAUAAUAGGCUUUCAGAACCCAGAGAUAUUAGAUAUCAUUAGUCCAAUCUUCUCAUGACUAAAUAAUAUUGUGAGAUUUCUCUCCCUGGAGAUAUUUUUAAAUGUCUUUUACAAUCACAGGAAGUCAGAGCUGGAAGAGAACUGAGAAUUGUGUGAGGCCAGAAAUCUCAUUCUACAGAUGAGGAACCUGAGACUCUGAAGAGGCAAUGGCUGGAUCACACGGAUAGCGGUGUGAUGAGAUCCGAGUCUCCAGACCCUCCAAUCUGGGGGUCUUUGCCUGUGUAAACAAGGCCGCUUCCCACUUCCAAUUUUGCUUCAUAAUCGUUACCCAAAGACAGCUAGGAAUCUCUCAUAGCAUUUGUCAAUGUGCUUGUCGUGAAACAUUAGUCCAUGCCAGGAUUUAAGUUAACAUAGAACUAAGCCAAAAUGUACCUUGGGCAAGAGCCAUGAAUCCCAACGCGAGUGGGCUGGGAUAAGUAGUUAUAUUAAUAAAACCCUUCCCAUCAAAAGUGUGAGUCAGAUUCAAUAUAUGAAUACCAUCGAGAAGUUACACACAGAGGGAGUUUAAUUUUAGUCCAAACAGAUCACCCAUUUGCAUCUCCCUUUGGAAAUAAAGGGGGUGGAAGUUAUGUCUUUCAAGUUUGAUUGAUGAAAAAGGGAAAACAGUCUGGAGGAGGGUCCUUUCCCUGUGGCCUGCUAUCCUGUGUACCACCUAGCGGAGCUUGAACUUCCAGGCCAGUGGAGGUGGACGUGGAGAGUGUGCCUUUUCUCUCCUUUGCCUUAGCUGCGCUCGGGAAAUUCCACAUCUCCCCCUUUCCCCUGUGCUCCUGCCCCGGGCUCUUUCCUGAGACCUGCUGCUCCUGGCUGGUACUGUGGCUGUGAGGCCUGUAGGAGCUUCCUGAGGUGGCGCACCGAACUUUUCUUACGGAGAAAGCCAUCCUCGUGUUCCUUUGAGCCCCCUUCUGCUCACUUUUUUCCAGGAAGGCCUAAGGCGAGAAAAGAGGCUCAGGGAUGUGCCUUGAGGACUGCAGAAGUUAUUCUGCCUCCCACUCUCUGGGCUUGCUCCUGCACCAUCCAUGUUACCUCCACCCUGCCCUCUGCUCCUUAAGGUCCCAAGCAGGGGAACCUGGGGGCCCGUGAGGAGGAUAGAGAAGGUGGAGGUGUAUUACAGCCUCCCCUGGGCUUUGCGUCUGGUGACUGGAGGGACCCUGCUGGAGCCUUAUGGGAGAGACAGCCCACCCUUCCUGGGGAGCUCUCAGUCUCACGGGGAGAUGAUCACCACCUGUCUGGUGGCCUCCCGUGCAAAGCAGUGCCCUGAGCAGGGGGUCGCUUCGCUACCUCCUGGAUGCCAGCGCCAGUACUGGGGAAGUGCAGUGGUGGGAAGAAGCUGAAUCUGAACUGAGGCCAUGAUUCUGCCCUCUCUGGACAGGCUGUUGUCCAUAAGAGGCAUUUGUUAUGUUGAUUUGCAAAGUACUGCUGAGCUCCUCUUUGGGGAUUUUUGUCCGAAGGGUAUCUCCGUUCCUGGAAUUCAUUGAAAGCCCUCCAUGAUGUGCCCUCUGCAACUCAUCAGGUUAAUGGGAAGGGAGGGUGGAGGGCAGCCAGGAUGCCCCACCCCCAGCCACGUCGGGAUGGCUAUAUUGACUGCAGAGUCUGACGGAAGGUUGAGGCCACGAAGGGGAUUCAUGGAUAGCAGAGGAAUAAAGCUCUGGCCCUAGAGCCUGUCUCCUUAACUGGGCUCCCAGCCAGUGUUUCCUUGCCAACUCCCUACUCCCCCCAGUCCGUCAUGCACACCCAACUAGAUCUGGCUUCCCCGAACACCACUUAGUCAAACCCCCCAAUUGCUUAGAAAACCUUAGUAAGUCCUCUUGGCCUGGACUCAGAGCCCUACGGGAUCAGGUGCACAUCCACAAGCAGUUGCCUUUACGACCUUAGCACUGAUGGAGGCUGCCCUUUGCAGUGGGGCCAUCAUCUAGCCAGCUGGGGUCUGCUCACAGUCCCUGGAAAAUUCUACGCUUUUUUGUGUCUUCUUGCCUUUCCCCACAUUGUCCCCAUGUCUUCUGCUCCUCCACUGCUCAUGCCCACUUCCUCCUUCAGUACCUCGGUCUUUUCCUUGCUUUGCUCAUCCCGCCAUGCAACUGUCCAUUUCUCUAUUGUACACUAAGUCCCCUGAGGGCAGGAACCCUGUAAGCUCCAGUGCAAUGCUGAGUGUGAGUUGAACGCACGCUAUUUCUUGGGUGAAUGAGGAGAGAUGGAGACUUGAAAUGAUGAACCCUCUGUGGGCAACUUAGUAUUAUUUCCUCCUUGACCUGGUGUUCAUGCACCCAUUUAUAGUGAGGUCUGGAGAUGUUGAAUGGGGUAGGGAGAAUGGAGGCAGAUGCCUCAGAAACGGUUCUAACAAGGCAACGGUCAAGAGUAGGAUUGAAAUAGAGAAGGUGCUGGAGGCAAAAACAAACAAAGAAAACAAGAAACUGGAUUUAACAUACCUUGGAGCUGGACGGUGGGUAUACUGGGUUGAAUAAGUGUUCUCUGAGAGUUCAGGUCUACCCACAAACCUCAGAAUGUGACCUUAUUUGGAAAUAGGACCUGUGCAGAUGUAAUUAGUUAAGGUAACAAGGGGUUGUACUGGAUUAGGGUGAGCCCUAAAUCCUAUGAUUGGUGUCCUUGUAGGAAGAGCAGAGGAUUCAUGGAGAAGAAAGCCAUGUGAAGGGGGAGGCAGAGAUGAGUGAUGGAGCUGUAUGCCCAGAAAUGACAGGGAUUCCCGGGCUCUAAUAUAAGCCUGGAAGAGCCAAGGAUGGCGUCUUCCCUAGAGCCUUCAGGCGUUGCCACCUUGAUUUUGGACUUUUGGGCUAAACUGUGAGACAACAAAUUUCUGUUGUCCAGUUUGUGGUAAUUUGUUGUGGUAGCCCUAGGAAAGGAGUACAGUGGGGUUCAACGUGCACUUGGGGUGUAUGUAUCACAAAUUCAGGGGAUCAAAUGCUUGGGUGCCAGUGGGUGUGCAGUACCGUGACCAAUGUUGUGAUUCUGUCUGUGGUAAGAAGUCUGCACUUAUCAUUCGUGAUGCCAUUUUGCCCAGAACUACAUAGGGGCAAAUUCACUUGGAAGCUUCUGGUCACCUGAACGGAGGUGCCCUGUGAGGCACUUGGGGCAUCUUGAGCUUGAUGGGAAGUCAUGGACAGAGCCACCCCUACAAGGCACAGGAAGGACAAAUCACACCAGGCAGGAUCUCUUGGGCACUCCUAUAAUUUUUUGUUUGUUUUUUUUGUGAUACGCGGGCCUCUCACUGCUGUGGCCGCCCCCGCCGCGGAGCACAGGCCCUGGACGCGUAGGCCCAGCGGCCACGGCUCACGGGCCCAGCCGCUCCGUGGCACCCGGGAUCUUCCUGGACCGGGGCACGAACCCGCGCCCCCUGCAUCGGCAGGUGGACUCGCAACCACUGCGCCACCAGGGAAGCCCUGGGCACUCCUAUUUUUAUGCAGAAGAAAUCUGGCUAAAACGAUCCUCAGGAAUAGAGACCUUCUCUCUUCCUGUGCACUGGGAAGAGGAGAGAGAAGGGUGAUGGGGAGUGUGUUAUGGUGAUUUUGUGAAGAAGUGAAUGGGGUGUGGGUUUAUCUUGACGCAAGUGAAAAAGGAAAGGAAGAAAAAAAAAGUGCUCAACGACCAAGUUGGCGUUUGCAGUGAGUGCUGUGUAAGAGAGCUGCCUUUUUUUCUGGGCCACCAGGCAGCUCUGGCUUUCUGUCCAAAGCAGUGAGAACCCCACAAAGCAGAGGGUGGGACAAGGGACAGGUCUGCCCUUGGAGGGUGUCCUUAGGCACCAGUGCAGAGCCUUCUCACAUCCCCCUUCUCAGUGUUAGAGGUGGUGAGGUGUCAUGAGAUGUGCACUGGAAGCCUAGCCCGGUUCCACCCAUUGUCACGGUUCAGUUGGGGUGAGCCUGUCCCCCUCUCAGAGCCUUGGUCUUCUUCCUUAUACAGGAGGCAAGUGAGGUUGGUGUGGGCAUUGAGGAAGAACUUUGUGAACCUUAAAAUGCUAGAUAAUAUUGUAUCUUAGAGUCCUCCCCAGGACUGAACAGGAUGGUGGGUGGAGGCCCCGUCCUUUGGGGUUCUGGGGUGGCUCAUAGACUGUGUGAAAAGUAGUGCAGGUUUCAGCUGGGGAAGAUGAAGUUCUGGAGACACAUGGUGGUGCUGGCUGCACAACAGUGUGAAUGUACUUCAUGCCACUGAACGGUACACUUAAAAAUGGCCAAAACGCUAAAUUUUAUGUUAGGUAUCUUUUACCAUGAACAAAAAUCACAAGCACUUUCCCCCCAUAAACAAAAGAGUACAGAUACUGGACCAAGCUGAUAGUCAAGUAAAUUUGACACUCUGGGUGUUAACAGGGUGACUAUUGCACUUUGUGGUGAAUGCUCACGAUCAUUGUGAGGAAUUAACCCUGUUUACUGGGACUCAAUUAAUACAAUAUAUUCUUAUUUCUUUUGGAAGGCCCUAGGAGCUCCCUUGGGAGGGGGUAAAACAGACCUCAGUCAUUGGAAUGAAAUGAACUGUAAACCGUGCUUAGUACCAGAUGAUCUGAGAUCACCUCGCUGGUUCUACCUCUGCCCUCAAGGUUAUGCUCCCUCCUCAACUCUACUCUUUCCUCUUUCUUCCUUCCUUUUGGUUCACAGUUUACUCUUUAUCCCAGGAGGUCAGGGGAGACAUGGGUUUGCAUCGACAGAACACAAGUAUGUGAGUGUCAUGUGGCCUCAUGCACUUCAUCAAAAAUGUCCUGUACUAUCACGGACCCUGGUCCUCUGGCCCAGACUUUGCUCCUAGAAGUGAGAGCUGUUUGCACCUAUCCCAGAGCAUUUCAUUCUCCAGGCCUGUGGGCAUCUGCAUCAAAACCUCACAGCAUCACCUCCCAAUUUUCUCCUUUCUCUAGCUGCUUCUGAAGAUCAGAACCACAGGCACUGCCUGGUGGCCUCUCUGUUUCUGAGGAGUCCCCUACAGAAAAUAACCCAGAAAGGGGCUGAAAGAUGGAUGUCUUUGGGAUUGAGAAAUUGUUUCAUUGUAGCAUGAAAUCAAAUGUUUGAAGUUUUGUGUUCAUAUAUUAGGACCUGUCUCGUGCCUACCCCGCAUCACCUCUGAUAACGAUGCAGAGCCCUGUUGAAUGCAGAGCUGCCUGUGGUGCCUGACGAUCUGAGUCGUGCACAGAGCCAGACAUGGCUCUCAGGGGUGAUGGCUGCGUGAGUUCCUGCCUUCAGGGCAGACAGCCCGUCUGCUAAGAGUGGGUUGGGGCAGGAAAACUCAGUGCCUUUCUUGUGGGCUUCUUGUUGUUGGAUUUUGCUCCACAGGUUGGAGGACAAGUCCCAGUCCUCCUAACUAGGCCUUUAGAGUCUGGGUGGUGUGGAUGCUCGCUGCAGGCUUGGAGGCUAGAAAGCAAGGACCUCCCUGCCUCAUGUGGUCAGGGGAGGCAGGAGUAAAGCCGGUGUGAAGGUGCAGGAGUUGGAAGGAAGUUGGAAAUCAGCUCCUUGAGGCCCUUCACUCUGAGAUUCACAAAGGAAAAAGAGAUGUCUCCUCACUGCAAGCAAAAUGGAACCUCCUUCCUGCACAUGAAGCCCUUCCUCACUGCAGGUUAUUCCAAAGGAGAGGAAGACACAUGACCUCCACAUACCAUCCAAGGAAAUAAGCGUGUUUAAAGGAGAUGAGCGCACCUUCACGUGUGGGAUGUGUCUGCUGCUUAAACAGUUCUUCGUGAGUGAAAGAAGGUGCACGAAAGAGAGAACGCCGGCACCUCCUCCUAGCACUCAAAUCCCCAUUCCUGCUGCUGCCGUGUGUGAAGCCGCAGCAUCCUCACCAGGGCCAUACAGGGAGCAAAUGCAAACUACCCAUAGACCCUUUGCUGUAUUCAAAACACAUCAUAAAUAAGGCGAUGUUUGAAGAUGAGAAGGACUUAAAAGGAGCGGUGUGUUCUCCUGGCCUGUUGGUUUGAGUGCCUGAAAGUGGACCUUGGCUAGAGCCCCAGGUUCGGAAGACAUUCUUAGCAAACCUCUUUAGAGUGAGGAUGUGAACACAGGGGCAAGGGAAGCCUCCAUGGAGAGCAGGCAGCUCCUGCAGUGGAAGGUUGAUCACUUGCACAGAGGGAAGGAACCAUGGAUUCCAUCAUAUAACACUUGAACCAUCUUUUGUGUUUCCAGAAUCAUUAAAAAUAGAUGGGCACCUCCAUGUAUGAAGUAGAUGAAGUCUUCCAGAGAAGAUUGGUAAAGUAUUUGUUUUGACAAAUCACCUUGCAAGUGAUGUGAAAGCAGUUUGGAGAAAAUGUCCUCAUCUCAUUCUACAUCAGAGUGUGCAUCCCGUAGCCUAAAUCUGUUGAUGACAUUAAAAAAUUUUUUUAUUGGUUCUUUAUAGAUCUUUAUAAGCUGGAUGUACUCCAGAAGAUAGGUAGGAGAGAUUCUAAGAGAUGUAGAAAAAUAGGUUCAAGAAUUGAGGCUUCAUAAUAGGUAAAAGGAAAUGAUACAAAGGUAAAAGAAGAAAUGUAUAAAUAUUACAACAGGGCACCGAAUUUUAGGAUCUUUACUCAGGGAUUGAAAAAAAUUGGAUAAGUUUGUAAAAGACACUGAGAAGCUGUAGAAAAAAACUGGAUAACAUAGAGGAUUGAUGUCCUUUUGGGAGUUUAAGAAAAAAAAUAAGUUAUUCAAGAAAGUAAUAUCUGAGGAUCUUAAAGGACUAUAUAAAAUGUAAUUUCACAGCUUAGAAAGAUAACUUGGUUCUGGGAACUCUUAUCUCUAUUCCUGACAGUGGUAAUGUUCUGGGUCUAAUCUUGGAAGAUCCUGAGACAAUUUCAGAGGAUUUCCGGCUUGAAGAACACAAACUGAUGACUGUCCCGAUGAGCUUGGUCCCUUUAACAUCAGAAGUGGCCACUCCUAGGCUGGGUGGCCCUUGACCAUGGUCCUUGACCAUGGUCCUCAUAUUUUUCACCUACAGGUUUGCUCUGGGCCAACUUCCAAGCCUGUGCUCCUCCUUCCAAGCUUCCCUGCACGCAGUCUUCUUCUGGGCCACUUGGCUGGUUUUUUAAUACCUGAGGAUUUGCUCCCAUCUCUGCAUGACCAAGCCUUGGCCAAGCCACUAUUUAUGUUGAUUCAGUUGCAACAUUUGCUCCUACUGGGGAUGGUCACAGCUUUCAUAGCUUACACAUGGUCUAGCUUGAAGCCAGUCUCUUCUGUGGUCAUUCUGAGCAGCAAGAAGCACUGUCUUUUGGAUUCACUGCAGAACUCACACACCACAAUAAACAAAGUCAGUUUCUAUAGCUAUCGCUGCAUCCAGAUUGGACAUUGACCUUUGCUGAGCCACCCCUUACUUCUGUUUCAGAUAAACUCAUCUGGCAAUUAAAAUCUCGGUGCACUUCCUCCAACUUGUCCAGAUGAGAGUAAAGUGAAAGACUCAUCAAGAAAUGGAGAAGAACCACAUGGCUGGCCCCUGCUGCUUGAAUCUUGGAUCUUGAGCCCAAAGAUGACAGUAAAAAUGCAGGUGGCACUGCUGCUACAUUUGCCCGGCACACCCGUAAAACAUGCAGCAUAUUUUAGCCUUCAGUGUUGGACUGGUAUUUCCAAAUAUAGGCUCAAAAAAUCCUCAGGUGUUUGAUUCUAACGUAGAGCCAGGGAUUCUGUCCUGCAAAUGCAUCCUGCAGCACAGGGAAAGGACCCAGUCCUCUGUGUCUCUUGCUUCAAAUUCUUCCAUCUUCUGGAGGCUGGAGAAAGAUGUGUGUCUACAUCUUGAAAUAUGCGCUUUGAACAAGAAUUACUAACCUGUAGAAAACCUGUCUUACUUUGAACAAAUUCUGUUUACAGAAGCCUAUCGGAACAUCAAAAUAAAGCAUCAGAAGGUCAUAAACUAAGGAGAAAACCUGAAAAAUAAAGUUCUAUGUGACCCAAA